rnacentral:rRNA from 1 species
GACGAACGCUGGCGGCGUGCUUAACACAUGCAAGUCAAACGGAAAGGCCCUGCUUUUGUGGGGUGCUCGAGUGGCGAACGGGUGAGUAACACGUGAGUAACCUGCCCUUGACUUUGGGAUAACUUCAGGAAACUGGGGCUAAUACCGGAUAGGAGCUCCUGCUGCAUGGUGGGGGUUGGAAAGUUUCGGCGGUUGGGGAUGGACUCGCGGCUUAUCAGCUUGUUGGUGGGGUAGUGGCUUACCAAGGCUUUGACGGGUAGCCGGCCUGAGAGGGUGACCGGCCACAUUGGGACUGAGAUACGGCCCAGACUCCUACGGGAGGCAGCAGUGGGGAAUAUUGCACAAUGGGCGGAAGCCUGAUGCAGCAACGCCGCGUGCGGGAUGACGGCCUUCGGGUUGUAAACCGCCUUCGCCUGUGACGAAGCGUGAGUGACGGUAAUGGGUAAAGAAGCACCGGCUAACUACGUG